CUAGUUGUACGAGUUGAGACUCGUAGCAGAUAGCUCAGUAACACGUGGCCAAACUACCCUAUGGAUCCAGACAACCUCGGGAAACUGAGGCUAAUCUGGAAUAGGGCUCUCAUCCUGGAGUGGAGAGAGCCUGAAAUGCUCCGGCGCCAUAGGAUGUGGCUGCGGCCGAUUAGGUAGACGGUGGGGUAACGGCCCACCGUGCCAGUAAUCGGUACGGGUUGUGAGAGCAAGAGCCCGGAGACGGUAUCUGAGACAAGAUACCGGGCCCUACGGGGCGCAGCAGGCGCGAAACCUUUACACUGCACGCCAGUGCGAUAAGGGGACUCCAAGUGCGAGGGCAUAUAGUCCUCGCUUUUUGCGACCGUAAGGUGGUCGCGGAAUAAGUGCUGGGCAAGACCGGUGCCAGCCGCCGCGGUAAUACCGGCAGCACGAGUGAUGACCGCUGUUAUUGGGCCUAAAGCGUCCGUAGCUGGCCGCGCAAGUCUAUCGGGAAAUCUCUCCGCUUAACGGAGAGGCGUCCGGUGGAAACUGUGUGGCUUGGGACCGGAAGACCAGAGGGGUACGUCUGGGGUAGGAGUGAAAUCCCGUAAUCCUGGACGGACCACCGGUGGCGAAAGCGCCUCUGGAAGACGGAUCCGACGGUGAGGGACGAAAGCUCGGGUCACGAACCGGAUUAGAUACCCGGGUAGUCCGAGCUGUAAACGAUGUCUGCUAGGUGUGACACAGGCUACGAGCCUGUGUUGUGCCGUAGGGAAGCCGUGAAGCAGACCGCCUGGGAAGUACGUCCGCAAGGAUGAAACUUAAAGGAAUUGGCGGGGGAGCACUACAACCGGAGGAGCCUGCGGUUUAA
rnacentral:rRNA from 1 species